AUGGAUUCAGCGGCGGACGGGUGAGUAAUGCCUAGGAAUCUGCCUGGUAGUGGGGGACAACGUUUCGAAAGGAACGCUAAUACCGCAUACGUCCUACGGGAGAAAGCAGGGGACCUUCGGGCCUUGCGCUAUCAGAUGAGCCUAGGUCGGAUUAGCUAGUUGGUGAGGUAAUGGCUCACCAAGGCUACGAUCCGUAACUGGUCUGAGAGGAUGAUCAGUCACACUGGAACUGAGACACGGUCCAGACUCCUACGGGAGGCAGCAGUGGGGAAUAUUGGACAAUGGGCGAAAGCCUGAUCCAGCCAUGCCGCGUGUGUGAAGAAGGUCUUCGGAUUGUAAAGCACUUUAAGUUGGGAGGAAGGGUUGUAGAUUAAUACUCUGCAAUUUUGACGUUACCGACAGAAUAAGCACCGGCUAACUCUGUGCCAGCAGCCGCGGUAAUACAGAGGGUGCAAGCGUUAAUCGGAAUUACUGGGCGUAAAGCGCGCGUAGGUGGUUCGUUAAGUUGGAUGUGAAAUCCCCGGGCUCAACCUGGGAACUGCAUCCAAAACUGGCGAGCUAGAGUAUGGUAGAGGGUGGUGGAAUUUCCUGUGUAGCGGUGAAAUGCGUAGAUAUAGGAAGGAACACCAGUGGCGAAGGCGACCACCUGGACUGAUACUGACACUGAGGUGCGAAAGCGUGGGGAGCAAA
rnacentral:rRNA from 1 species